AUUGAACGCUGGCGGCAUGCCUUACACAUGCAAGUCGAACGGUAACGGGCCUUCGGGUGCCGACGAGUGGCGCACGGGUGAGUAAUACAUCGGAACGUGCCCGAUCGUGGGGGAUAACGAGGCGAAAGCUUUGCUAAUACCGCAUACGAUCUACGGAUGAAAGCCGGGGACCGGAAGGCCUUGCGCGGACGGAGCGGCCGAUGGCAGAUUAGGUAGUUGGUGGGAUAAAAGCUUACCAAGCCGACGAUCUGUAGCUGGUCUGAGAGGAUGAUCAGCCACACUGGGACUGAGACACGGCCCAGACUCCUACGGGAGGCAGCAGUGGGGAAUUUUGGACAAUGGGCGCAAGCCUGAUCCAGCCAUGCCGCGUGCAGGAUGAAGGCCUUCGGGUUGUAAACUGCUUUUGUACGGAACGAAAAGCCUUCUUUUAAUACAGGAGGGUCAUGACGGUACCGUAAGAAUAAGCACCGGCUAACUACGUG
rnacentral:rRNA from 1 species